CGAUUCACAAGAGCGGCCACUCAAAGGCUCAGAUUGUCCUCGGGAGCGGGAGCGCGAGACAGCGACAGCCAUGACUUCGCAUUGGAGGUCUGUGCUUGAGGGAGGCUGGAGGCCGAGGCGGAGGUGACGCCUUCCAAGGACAAGAAAAAACAACAACAACAACAAUAACGUGUAUCGAGUUACUAGCACUGUAUUCAUCUAUCAUUGGACUAUCUCGGACUUCAGCUGACCUGCAGUAGUCCUGUCAGCUGAUCAUCAGGAGAUGGAAGCAAACUAACUUAUAUUUUUCGUAAUUUUUCAACAGUUACAUUAGCAUCUAAAUAUACAAUUUCUGUGGUAAUAUUUGAAGAAAUUAGGGUAUUUUUAAAGGUGUAAUGUUUUUGUUCGUUGAGAAUACGAAAGCAUUUAGAAAAUAUUCUUCAAGAUCUCGAAAACAAAAAUGUUUUCUUAAUUUAAGUAUUUGUUUAUAGAUUUAACCAAGUGAUAAUAAUAAUAAUAAUAAUAAUAAUAAUAAUAAUAAUAAUAAUAAUAAUAAUAAUAAUAAUAAUGAUAAUAAUAAUAAUAAUAAUAAUAAUAAUAAUAAUAAUAAUGAUAAACAGUCAGAGAAAAAAAUAAAACAAAAAAGAGAAAUGAAAAAUGAGACGAAAGUGCAAGAUAAGACGAACUGUCAGACACAAUUUGUCUAACGAGGAGCUCCAGUUCAAGGGAUAUUUGGAUGUAAGAUCCAGAAGUAUAGGGACAGAGGAAGGAAAGAAGAUAAUUGAAGCGAGGAAGAGGGAAACGGACGAUAGGGAGGGAUAGAAGGGGGGAAAAGGCGAUGGGAAGGGAUAGAGGAGGAAGUGAAAGGAAAUAACUUGAAGCAAACUGAAAAUAAAUUCAUACACACACACAUACACACACCCACACACACACACACACACACACACACACACACACACACACACACAAAUGAAAAAUUAAACUUGAGAAGAAAAAAUACCGCUCGAGGAUUCUGUCCAGUUAGGCUUGUAUUCUCUUCAUCAUAUACAAUGCUUGCAGGUAACGUUCGUUUAUGUAACUAAUUCGUUGACCUAUAAUGCCGAAUGUAUUUUAUCUUACUAGGAUUUUUUUCCCUAAACAUCUGAAGGACAGUUAGAUCGUCCUACUUAUGCAAACUGUGAACGUCGUAUUAAACAGAUAAAUUUC